UAUCUUCAGGGCAGGGCGAAAUUCCCGACCGGCGGUAAAGUCCGCGAGCGCAAGCUGAACCGGUGUGAUUCCGGUACCGACAGUACAGUCUGGAUGGAAGAAGAUG
rnacentral:ncRNA from 1 species